rnacentral:rRNA from 1 species
CCUGAACGCUGGCGGCGUGGCUAAGACAUGCAAGUCGUACGGUGUAGCAAUACACAGUGGCGAACGGGAGAGUAAUGAAUCGCUAAUGUGCCCCGGACUUUGGGAUAGCUGACCGAAAGGUCAGGUAAUACCAGAUGACAUACCUUUAUCGCAUGAUAAGGGUCUCAAAGGCCCGCCGGUCUGGGAGCAGGCGAUUUCGUAUCAGCUAGUUGGUAGGGUAACGGCCUACCAAGGCGACGACGCGUAGCCGGACUGAGAGGGCGGUCGGCCACACUGGCACUGACACACGGGCCAGACUCCUACGGGAGGCAGCAGUCGGGAAUUUUGGGCAAUGGGCGAAAGCCUGACCCAGCAACGCCGCGUGAAGGAUGAAGCUUUUCGGAGUGUAAACUUCAUAAGAAUGGGACGAAUAAGGA